GGUCAUUUCACGUGGUAACAACAGUUCCCGUAAGAUCCCCGAAAUUAACGUCGGGCCUGGUCAGUAGCUAGAUGGGUGACCUCUUUGAAAUACCAGGUGCUGUAAG